GACGAACGCUGGCGGCGUGCCUAAUACAUGGCAAGUCGAGCGGACCCUUCGGGGUUAGCGGCGACGGGUGAGUAACACGUGGGUAAUCUGCCCAACUGACUGGAAUAACGCCUGGAAACGGGUGCUAAUGCCGGAUAGGCAACUGGUAGGCAUCUACCGGUUGGGAAAGGUGCAACUGCACCGCAGAUGGAGGAGCCCGCGGCGCAUUAGCUAGUUGGUGGGGUAACGGCCUACCAAGGCGACGAUGCGUAGCCGACCUGAGAGGGUGGACGGCCACACUGGGACUGAGACACGGCCCAGACUCCUACGGGAGGCAGCAGUAGGGAAUCUUCCGCAAUGGGCGCAAGCCUGACGGAGCAACGCCGCGUGAGCGAAGAAGGCCUUCGGGUUGUAAAGCUCAGUCACUCGGGAAGAGCGGACGAGGGAGUGGAAAGCCCUCGUCGAGACGGUACCGAGAGAGGAAGCCCCGGCUAACUACGUG
rnacentral:rRNA from 1 species